CUGCCUAGGUGGGCCGGGCGGUGCGAGGGUCGCCUUUCAGCCUUUACCUCUACCCACUGAAAUGGAGUAGGUCGGUGAGCGCCGAUCUGCUGGAGAAUCUCAUUAUCCCAUCGGCGCUCUGCCUGCUCCUGGCCUCCAAGCCUCUGAAGCCCCUCGGGUUUCAGCUGCCGGCUACCCUCGAGCCCGUGGUGCCCACGAGAGAGGCGACUUUACGUCAGCGGCCCUGGGCUGAGAUUUGAGAACGCGACCAAGUGGAGAAUGUUGGAGCCAGAUUUUAAAAUCCUUGUCUUCCUUCUGCGUGCUACUUGAUCUAAAUGAGAUACGGCAAAGUCACAGAACCUGUUUUUAUGUUUUUGCCUGAUUCAUACGGGCUUCUCCGGUGAAGAUGGGCCUGAAGUAACGCUUGGGUUGCUUCUGACGUUAUAACUCAUCCUGUAGCUGCAGCAACCGUGGUCCUUGCAACCUCAUAAAAAUGUUGCCAGCAUUGUUUCGAUAGUGCUGCUUAAUUCUUGGAAGGCCUCUUUGCUUUCUUCCCUGAGGUUCUUCGGACUUCACACAUUCCAGCAGUAGCUCUCUCAGCUCCUGUCCUGCACAGCUUUGAAGUGCUGGACACAGCCCUGGUGAUGGCUUUCUGAGGAUGACACGAUGGAGGCUUCUCCAAUAGCUCUAAAACUGCGGUGUGGAAAACAUUCGGCAGCCUCAAAGAGCGGUCUUGUUGACCCCAACUAUAUCAUUUUUCAUCAAAAUCAUUCUUGUAAAGAAUGACCAGGCAACACUCUUUGAAAAUUGGAGGCCAUUUGCAGCUGCUCUCUGUUGAGGAAAGUGAAUAAUAGGGUGCCCUCAAGGAAUUGCAAAGGUAUCACUCAACAGAAACUUUCGUGUCUGAAGAAAACUAGAUCAUUUUAUCAUGGGACACGCUGCGGAUGGCUUGAGAUUAGUAUCUGCGCAGGUGCCAUUCUCACAGUGUGUGCUGUGAGAAUGUCGCAGACGUGUGCUGCUACUCUGGCACUCACACUUGUCCAGGCUGUUUCUUAGGUGGUCAUCUUGCCUGUGGUAUCAGAAAAAGGGAUUUCUACUUAGUAUUAAGAAGUUGAAACCAAAGUAGAAAAUAUUCAUCCUUUGCUUUCCCCAAACAAUUCUUCUGCCUAGAAAUGUCAACAACUUAACCACAUGCAAAUACCCAUUUGUGGACAAAUGUGUACAAAAGACAUUUGGGGUUCCCCUCUUUGAGACUAGAUUAAAGCUGACCAUAUAGAUAGGGAAGAAAACUGUUUUUCUCUGUAGCAUCAUAUUGCUGCUUUGUAUAUUUUCUGAUAGAGUAGCAUCAGGUCCUCUGGCUGCUUUAUUGAAAUCAUCUUUGACGUUUCUAACAAGGAAAUUUCCUGUGCAAAACUCUAGUUAGAGAUUUCAGUGACUUGUAUCACCAAGAGGAGGACCAUCAGCAUGCAGUGGAGGUCUAGGCUUCAGACAUGUGAGGCACACUGAGGAGCAGCUUUAUUUGCAAGAGGUAUUAGGAAUCUUCCUAACAAAGUUGACCUUCAGGAUGGGAGAAAUCAAAGCACAGACCAUAGAUCCAAAAAAAAUGGCUUCUGGUCAGAAAAGGUGAUCUGAGAUUAGGGGAAGAUGUGUCAUCAAUAUCAUCCCCUGGUCCAGCCCUGUGAAAUCACACCUGAGUGGUAGAGAAAUAUCUAUGAAAAAAUAGUAAAACAGAAACAAAUGUUUCUGUCUGGCAGACAGGCAGCUGCAUGGCUUUCAGGGCCAGGUAGAGGGGACAUCACAUGUACAUGGUGGCAGCGGGAUGUCCCCAGGUAGCAGAAAGUCGCAGGUGGCUCAUCAGAGACCCUAAAGAACUAGCCCCCUACUUGUAGGUGUCAGUGGCUGUGGUAGGAGUGGCCAUAGAUAGUUUCUGGUUACACAAGAUUGGUGUGGGAACAGCAUGACCACGAGAAAAAUCUGGGUUGACGGCCCCAGGGAGCUGGAGCAGAAUAUUAACAAUAGUAGCUAGCAUUUGAGUGCUGCCCAUGUGCUUGAAAAUGUUCUAGGUGAUUUACCUUUAUUAGCUCCUAUAAUUCUCAAAACGACCUCGAGUUAGGUCUUUCUAUUAUUCCUAUUUUAUAGACAAAGCAGUGGAGCCACAGAGAGGUUAAGUAACUUGCCCAAUGUCACACAGCAAAAAGUGGCAGAGCCACAAUUUUAAUUUGGGUUGAAGAGGAAAAUAGAUAAUGCAUAUUCCUAGGAUCUGAGAGAUGUUUGAGGUGAGGGGGAAUGAGAGGCUCUCCUUUGAAAGAAGCAGCAGGGGGUACUGAAACAGAGUAGAAGAGUGUGAAAGCUGGUGGGGUUGUUGUUGUUGUUGUUUUUAGUCCUAAGUUAGUGGCAUGAAAGCACUGCCCUGGAAGCGAUGGAGCAGCAAGUGCUCUACCCACAUGGAAGUCUUUGGGACCUGCACUUCAAUGAGCGCAGAGAGGAAAAGGAGAGAAGAACCAACACAACUGAAGCACCUACGAGCGUCAGGCACUGGCCCAGCUGCCAUGGACCCCCGAGUUGAAGGUCGUAUAACCUCAGCCUGCCCAAAUGAACCAAGCACACAACCACAGGGGGAACCCAAGAGUUCCAGUGGGAGAGCUGGAAGAGGAGGGACCAAUGUGAGAAGUGGACACCAUAUGGCAGGAUCCAGGAUCCAAUCAGACUGAGCCCUGGGGUCACCCCAUGGAAGGAUCCAGUUGGAUCAUGCCUCCUGGCAUCACCUACUGCAAGAUCCAAUCAGAUCACACCUCCUUACCCUAUGCUUAUAAAACCCCACCCAGCCCCCAGCCCGAAGAUACAGAUUUGAGUAUUUCCUCCUG
rnacentral:lncRNA from 1 species